ACAUAUCUCUCACCAUGUCACAUGCACUGGCUCUGCUAGCUUCCACCUGGGCUCCAACUGCCAGACCCCCCCAGAGCUUCACACAAGCUAUCGCUGACUGCCGGUGCAUGUUGGAAAUGGGCCACAGGGCUGGGCAUGAUAUGAGCUGCCUGGACAUUGGAGGGGGCUUCCCCGGAAUGGAGGGCUCCGGGCCCAAGUUUGAGGAGGGAUAAUUCUAAUGCCUACCUGCAGGGUGCCUCGGGGAUGAAAGGACUGAUGCAGGUAAGGCGUUGGCACAGGCGCUGGCACAUCAACACGUGCUGGAUGAGUUAACCUCUUCCUGCUGUCCCUCCACCCCAUUCCAGUUGGCGAGAGUGAUCAGUGCUGCCCUGGCCCAGGACCUCCCUGAGGAGCGUGGUGUCAAGGUCAUCGCAGAGCCUGGCUGCUUCUAUGUGGAGUCUGUCUGCAUGGCCGCUGUCAACAUCAUUGCCAAGAGGGCUGUGCUGGAGCCCGGUGGGUGGGCCAGGAUGGCACUGGGUGGGGAUGCCACUGUCCAGGUGUCCCCAGGCCCUGGAGGAGAGGAAGGGCAGAGGGUUGGGCUCUGUCCCAGGAGCUGGGGGUCAGAGUAGUGACUGAGCACUCCCCAGGAGGCAGCCGGAAGCUGGUGUAUUAUCUCAAAGAUGGCCACUAUGGCUCCUUCCGCCUCUGCUACCGAGAGCCUGUCCCAAGGGUUCCCAUCGUGGUGAAGGUAAGGGGGCCACUCCAGCCCCGAGUCUAGUCCCUUACCUUGAGGUGCCUUGUGCCUCCCCUACUGGGAACAGUGGCUGUGCUGGACCCCAGAGGCAGGUCCUGGCCUGCUGCUUAGAACACAUGUGGACACGUACAUGAUGUGUGCUCACAGAUCAGAGCGUGUGCAGCAGCUGGAUAUGUAGGCCUCCUCAGGCAAAGGGGCGAUCACCAGAACACAAAGGCGUGGGUUGUUUUCCAAAAUAUUGAAGUUCUUCUCCCUGGUGGCUUAAGAGCCAUUCCUUCUUCCUGGUGGUUAAAGAGCUAUUCCCCCGAGUCCACCAGGGGCCUCCCUGCCGACACUCUUGCUGCUCAGUCCCUCCCACGAUCUGGCAACAAAGCUUCAAUACCUGACCCUGUAGGGC
ensembl:lncRNA LDC1P leucine decarboxylase 1, pseudogene